rnacentral:rRNA from 1 species
GACGAACGCUGGCGGCGUGCUUAACACAUGCAAGUCGAGCGGUAAGGCCCUUUCGGGGGUACACGAGCGGCGAACGGGUGAGUAACACGUGGGUGACCUGCCCUCCACUCUGGGAUAAGCCCGGGAAACUGGGACUAAUACCGGAUACGACCAUCUCGCGCAUGUGGGGUGGUGGAAAGAUUGGGUUCGGUGGGGGAUGGGCCCGCGGCCUAUCAGCUUGUUGGUGGGGUGAUGGCCUACCAAGGCGGUGACGGGUAGACGGCCUGAGAGGGCGACCGGCCACACUGGGCCUGAGACACGGCCCAGACUCCUACGGGAGGCAACAGUGGGGAAGCUUGCGCAGUGGGCGGAGGCCUGACGCAGCGACGCCGCGUGGGGGAUGACGGCCUUCGGGUUGUAAACUUCUUUUGUACGGGAAGAACAUGCUGAAUUUAUUCGGCAUUGACGGUACCGUGCGAAUAAGCACCGGCCAACUACGUGCCAGCAGCCGCGGUAACAC